UUCUCGAAUUCAAGGCAAACACAUUUUGCAACAAAGUUCCUGUCGAACAAAUCUUUGUAAUGUAUUAAUACAUAAAUUGUUUUACAAAAUAAAGAACCCUACAGCACUCCCAAGCUACAGCUAAAAACAGAUGGAGGAAAUGAUUGGUCUGAAUCAUUUUACACACAAGAGUAGUAAACAGCAAGAGAGAAUAGAAUCACAACACUCUCUCAAACAACAAAUAUACGUAGUACACAUGCUAUCAAGCUCAUGGCUCAAGGCCAGUAAUGCCGGCAUGGCAUCAUAACCGGACCUUUGUGUUUGCCUCAAUCACAGCAAAUACCUCGGUUACUGGUCGUGCAAAUGGGCAUUCCUCAUCAAACCUUCCUAACCUGAAUAUUGUGGGUGGACUGCGACCUCCAGAUGGGUUGUCUGCCACUCUGAACGAGUGCAACCUCCUCACCUUCCUUCACCAUACCAUGCUUCUGUGAAAUGUAGCAUAUCAUGUUAGACGACAUAUUCUCAUGUUAUAAUAAAAAGAAAUGGCACCAAAACGUAUGUGGAAAUGGAAUAGUGUGAACAUGCAUGUUGCCGCGAAAAUCAUGUAACUUCUCCAGCUAAUUUCCCCGCCCUUCUAAUUAAGCACACAGAUCAAGGUCACAUGCGCUUACUUGUUUAGUUUUACUAUUUCUUAAAGAAGCUUCAGGACGAUUCUAGAUUUAAUAUGCUGCCGAGUACCACGUAUUUCCCUAUUUCCUAUAUGCAUUUAUGUCCGUUUGAUUUGAAAUCAGACGGUGCAGAGAGAAAAAAGAUGAAUGUUAUGCACCCGGCUUUCAGUAUAGAUCAAAGUUGGGAACGUAAUGGCUUUACCAUGAUACUCCCUCUGUCCCAAAAUAAGUGUCUCAACUUUGUUCUAACUUUAGUACAAAGUUGUGCUAAGCUUGAGACAUUUAUUUUGGGACGGAGGGAAUAUAUGUUUGGGAGCAACGAAUGCAGUUAGUAGCUGCAGUUUGCGGGCCAAAGUAUGUGAACACGCUAAAUUUUUGCACAUUUCAUAACUGAAGAACAAUAUUUUAGUGGACAGUGCGAUAUCACAUGUAUUAGCCCCAGAAACUUGCCAAAAGAAGAAUGCAUCAUCAUCAUUUGUGACCACAAUCGAGUGAAUUGUCCGUCCCUGUAAAAGGCCCAUUUUGUCUUCCAUAAGGUCAAUAUAUUUCCUAGUCUGUUAAUUGUUAUGGUUCUACACCUAUUUUGCGCAGAAAGUAGUUCCAAUUCCACGAUCAUAUAUUUAGCAUCAACUUGUUUAUAGAGCACCGAUUUAGUUAGCGUUUGGUAGAUCAUGCCUCAGGAAUGUGUUCUGCAACUUUUUGCGGGGCAUUUCAGGUUUGCGAAUAUCAUGAGCACCCGAUGAGUAGGAACAUCUGAUACAUCCUCUAUACCCACGCUCCAAAAAGCCUUCCAAGUUUCGAAGGCAAUAUAGCCUAACUAAUUUCAACACUUAGUGCAGGCUCUUUUAGGGUAUUUUAACGGUUUCAUCAUGUACUGCAACCACAAUGGUAGAUACGUAAGCUAAUGCCAGCAAAAAAAAUACUAGAAGGGAUGGGGUAUGUCAGUGAUUACCAGCAAGUAAGAUAAAGCAUCAGCAAAUGUCUUCUCAGCACAAUCAGAAAAUUCCAUGUGAACUGGACAUACACCUUGGUACAAAGCCAGUCGUUGUCUAACUAUCUCCCUAUAAACAGUAACCAACAUCAAUAACACUAAGAAAUACUUUUAAAAAGAAAAUAUGAACAAAGGGGCAACAAUAUUAUGCUUCCAGAAAUAAUAGAUCCAAUCUUCAGAUCAGUUCUCCCACAACAGUAGGAUAAAAAGCAUGUACCGCCACAACAUUAUCUAAAUUCAGUUUCAUUAGUGAUAACCUCUUCUCCUAGGAUAUACUAGUUUCAAUAAUCAAAUAACUUGCAUGAGGCAAAUAGUUCCUAGGAAUGACUUCAUGCACAUGUUAGGGAUACGGUGUUCACCAAGUAGAAAAGCACAGCUGGUUUUCAGCCCACGUAUGUUGGUGAAUAAGCAGCUAAGCGCAUCAUUUGCUAUUGCUUGUCAAGGUUAUCAUUAUGACUGGAUGACAAGGCAAGAAAAUGUAUUGGUAAUUAAUGUAUUGCACAUGAUUAACAUUGAAUAUCUUAGCAGCAUCGGUGAUUUUGUUUCUUAACAUGUUAAGAUAGGAAUUUCAUUUUAUUGAUGACAUAACAUUGGAGCAAAAGCAGAGAAAUCUUACUGAUCUGUGAAGGCAAAUAUGGUGCCAGAUGGCCGGUAAUGGCUAAGUAGGAUAGACAUAAAUCCCGUCCUUGUGAAAACCACAAUUGAUGUACCAAGUGUAUUGGACAUCAUUGUUGAAUGGUAGGCAAACAUUUCGCUCAUGUGGUUCUACAGGGAAGAAAGUAAAUAGGAAAGAUAAAAACUGGGUUAAAGUGAAGAAAAAGACAUGCAGUGUCAGUUGGGAUAUUGCAGUUCAGACCUUGAACACCUGACCAAGGUUAGACGGUGUUUCCCCGCCAAUAAUAGUUGCUUCAGUUCUUAGUGCAACAGUAUGCAUGACCUUGACAGCUUUCAAGGGAAAUCUGUCCGGCAUCAAGUGGUAAAGCUUAGUCAUGUAUCCAUCUUAAAUGCACGUCAUAAAUAGCAAGCAUCUUUUAAACAAACCAAAAGGGCAACAAAAAGAGUGCAACUAAACAUCAACAUGCCCACUCCUUUAUUCAUGAUCUAUUACAACAAAAUCGAGCAAUCCAUGAUCCAUGUGGCAGUUCAGUAAGUCUAACACAACAAAAACGUUCGAAAUGAGCUAACUUAGAUGGAAACCAAAACAACAUGAUACCACAAAUUCAGAGCAGACAUAUUGAAAGUAGAGUUAGAUAUCAUAGUUUACUCAGGAUAAAUAAUAGGACAAGAGCAAAAUCACCAACAAUUACAAAUAACAGCUUAUAGCUGAUGAACACACAUUAGUAGUCCUAACAAUUUCUGGAACAUUUAAAGAAUACAAUCACAAAAAUAACAUCCUAUAGUACUGCAGAAAUAUUACUUAGUAAUAAAAUCAGCUGGCUUUUGUUAGUUAAAUUAUUAACAAUAGACUGUGGGUGCACAUAUAGUUUGCUGGGAAUAUAUAAACAAUAUUUUGUUAUGCAUAAGAAAACAAAAACACAUACUUUCCAUGUGCAGUUUCCCCAGAAAGCAUAACUGCAUCAGCACCUUCCCGAACAGCUAUAGCAAUGUCUGAAACUUCUGCACGGGUUGGAGUUGGAUGAACGAUCAUGCUUUCCAGCAUAUUAGUGGCGACAAUGACAGCUUUUCCCAUGCUUCUGCACAUUCUAAUAAUUUCUUCCUGCAUCGGGACAUGAAAUUCUAACCAUAUCAUGUAUAUCCUAUAUCGAAUCAACUAAUGGAAGCACAGAAAGUUCAGUGCCAGGUUUCAAAUUGGAUAGCUACCUAGAUGUAUAUACAAACAAGUGCAAAGCGGCCCUCAGUUAAUAAUUAUUUCCUUCCAAGCGUAAAUUGUGUAGUUGAUAUUGUACAGAGCACAACCAAGUUUGUAGCUUUUCGCUUAAACAAAUAACUAAGCAGGGAAGUGGGCAUUUAGUGCAAUGGACUUGUUGACAGUGCGCAAUAAACUAGAUCAUACCUGCAGCAAUGGUACCUCCUCGAUAGGAAGUUCAGCCCCCAAAUCACCCCUGGCAACCAUAGCCUACAGAACUCGACAAUUUAUACAUCAGUACUUCAAAACUAAAAUCAACAAUGACACACUCUGUAGAAAAAGAUUAAAUAGAGAAGAAGCCCUUUUCAUGAUGCCCAUACAACUUAAGAUCUUUCAUGGUUAAGAUAUAUUUUAUAGUGCAUCUUGCUAAACUCAAGAAACAAUGAAUAUCAACCUCUUACCCCAUCAGAUGCUGUAAUGAUUGAAUGUAAGUUUGGAAUAGAAUCUGCACUUUCAAUUUUCACAAUUACGUGUAUAUCCGCAUUCGAGCCUGAGUCAAAAUAAAAAGGAAACAUGGUCAAGACAUACUCAAAACGACGCCCACGCUGUUUAUAAAGUCCGGAAUAAUUAUUACUUCUGAGAUAAUCCUUCAAUUCAUGCACAACUUGAGCAUCUUUGACGAAAGAAACAGCAUAGUAGUCAACCUGAUUUUCCACCCCAAACUUAAUAUCAUCCCAGUCCUUAUCUGAAAGUUUGGAAAGUGUGCAUGAGACAAGAGCAUAUUUAUUAUUCAAUGAAACAUAUGAUGACUAUUACCGGUGAUUGAUGGCAAGGUUGCGCUCUUGCCACGGACAUUCAGGUGACGCCUGGAUUUUAAUUCACCUCCAUCAAUAACUUCACAUUUUACAGAAUCUUCGGUUUUUGAUUUGACCAGAAAUGACAUCAUUCCUCCUAAAUAACCAAUAGAAUGAUCAUUAAACACAACAUAAAUCACUUUAAUGUCAAAGUUACGUAAUCAAAAAAUAUAAUCAUCCUUACAAGCAUAAAAAAAUACAGAGAACAAAGGUAGAAGGAUGUUAGAUGGGUAUCUGAUGUUCUAAUUCAAUUGUUAAUCAGUUGUGCACACUAAGCAAGACCACCUGCAAAUAAAAGUGCUGGUAAACUCCAUCUCAGAAAGCUGACUCAAGUACCAAAAGACAAAAACAGAUGUAGGUGUUAAUGCUCUCAAAACUGCAGGGUAAUGUUGAAAACACUGUGUCUCCACAUGCAUAAACGAUUGAUGCAUCAUGACUCCAUGCUAGUAGGCAGUAGUUAGCCACACAAUGUGUUCCAGGAAAGCAAUAAAAUUAAGUGUCAGCAGAGAAAACAUAGAAUAUCAUUACGAUGGACAAAACCAGAAGAUUUUAAACAACAUGUGACAGCUUAGCUUAGCCAUGUUAACAAAGACCAGCUCUUCAUGAGCCUAUCCAAUUCACUAUAUACAGUUAUGUGCCGCAAUACAAAUUUAUUCAAUCACUAGCUAAAAGUAAGUGUUAGACUAUUUCAGAUAAACUGAUUUGCUGCAUCCGCACAUUCUGUAAACAAUCAUGUGUCACCAAUAAAGAUCAAAUAAUCAAAUACCAGAACAGGAAUAGAACGUGCACAUACCAUCCACAAGGAGCAUGUCACCGGCUUCUACAUCAUUAACAAAGUCAUCAUAGUUAACACUAACACAUGUCUCAGUCCCAACCCC
rnacentral:lncRNA from 1 species